rnacentral:snoRNA from 1 species
AGAUGACAUCCAUGGUUUAGCGUCCUCUGAGCAUGCUGAUACCAUAUCGACCGCUGAAU